rnacentral:lncRNA from 1 species
AUACCUAGUAGUGCAAUUGCUGGGUCGUAGGGCAGUUCUAUUUUUAAUCUUUUGAGGAACCUCCAUACUGUUUUCCAGAGUGACUGCACCAGUUUGCAUUCUCACCAGCAGUACAAAAGAGAUCCUCUUUCUCCACAUCCUCGCCAACCUCUGUUGUUGCCUGAGUUGUUAAUGUUAGCCAUUCUGACAGGUGUGAGGUGGUAUCUCAUUGUGGUUUUGAUUUAUAUUUCCCUGGUGAUGAGUGAUGUUGAGCAUUUUUUCAUGUGUCAGUUGGCCAUCUGGAUGGGUUGUUUGGAGAAGUGUCUUUUCAUGCAAGACUGCUUUUUAGAUAAACUCCUUGGAGUGUAGGGGAAGGGAAUUUUGGGGUGAAAUGAUUUACUUUUGCACUAGGGUUACUUCUGAUUUCUGUCUGUCCAGGCAGUCCACGAUGUCAUCUAAGGAUUGGCUGAUUCCUUCUCAUCCCUUCAAGGUCUCUCAGUAUAAUGCAAGCCAGACUAUGCACCUGCCCUCAGGAAAAGGAUCAAGUCAGAAAAACAUGUCAAAAUCAACUUGAUACUUUUUGGUCCAGUCAUUGGAUAAAUGGUGAUAGUAUUUACUGAAAAGAGAAUACUGGUGCAGAGGCACAUUUGGGAUGAGGGUAGAAAAUCAAGAGCUGACCUUUCUAUAAUCACUUAGGUCAUUUACAGUUUAUGUUAUUACAAUCAGUAUUGCUGUAACAUCAUUUUACAUAUUCUUGUACACAUGGGGAAGACUUACUCUACAGUAUUUUAUACAGUAUAGGAGUAAAAUAGCUGAAUUCUAAGGUAAUCGAGUCUCCAAUUUUAAUAUAUUCAUGGAAUUUGAAAAGAAAAUUUGUGUGCACAAAGUAUUCUAGAAGUGAGGCAAAGUUACCAUUUAAAAAUUUUAAUUGUAGGGUUCUCUACAGGUAUCUUCAUUAAAUUAAGAUACCCCAUUAAUGUGGGGUAAUUUCAACCAUUUUAAUCUCUGGUUCUGAUUUCAAU